rnacentral:rRNA from 1 species
GAUGAACGCUGGCGGUAUGCUUAACACAUGCAAGUCGAACGGACUCUUCGGACUUAGUGGCGGACGGGUGGGUAACGCGGGAGAAUCUGCCUUUGGGUUCGCGUCAACCACUGGAAACGGUUGCUAAUACAGGAUGUGCUGAGAGGUAAAAGAGGAAUUGGCUGAAGAUGAGCUCGCGUAUGAUUAGCUAGUUGGUGAGGUAAGGGCACACCAAGGCAGUGAUCAGUAGCUGGUCUGAGAGGAUGACCAGCCACACUGAGCCUGAGACACGGCCCAGACACCUGCGGGAGGGAGGAGUGGAGAAUUUUCCACAAGGGGCGAGCGUGUGACGGAGCAGUACCGCGUGAGAGGAGAAGGCUCUUGGGUUGAAAACCUCUAGGCUUAGACAAAGACAAAAUGACGGUACCUAAAGAAUCAGCACCGGCUAACUCCGUG